rnacentral:rRNA from 1 species
UGGGGAAUAUUGCACAAUGGGCGCAAGCCUGAUGCAGCCAUGCCGCGUGUAUGAAGAAGGCCUUCGGGUUGUAAAGUACUUUCAGCGGGGAGGAAGGCGAUAAGGUUAAUAACCUUGUCGAUUGACGUUACCCGCAGAAGAAGCACCGGCUAACUCCGUGCCAGCAGCCGCGGUAAUACGGAGGGUGCAAGCGUUAAUCGGAAUUACUGGGCGUAAAGCGCACGCAGGCGGUCUGUCAAGUCGGAUGUGAAAUCCCCGGGCUCACCCUGGGAACUGCAUUCGAAACUGGCAGGCUAGAGUCUUGUAGAGGGGGGUAGAAUUCCAGGUGUAGCGGUGAAAUGCGUAGAGAUCUGGAGGAAUACCGGUGGCGAAGGCGGCCCCCUGGACAAAGACUGACGCUCAGGUGCGAAAGCGUGGGGAGCAAACA